UACGUAGGGUGCAAGCGUUGUCCGGAAUUACUGGGUGUAAAGGGUCCGCAGGCGGGCAUGCAAGUCGAUGGUGAAAUCCUGCAGCUUAACUGCAGAACUGCCGUUGAUACUGCAUGUCUUGAGUUCGAGAGAGGGUAAUGGAAUUCAUGGUGUAGCGGUGAAAUGCGUAGAUAUCAUGAAGAACACCUAUAGCGAAGGCAGUUACCUGGCUCGACACUGACGCUCAGGGACGAAAGCGUGGGUAGCAAACAGG
rnacentral:rRNA from 1 species